AGGAGUGUAGUUUAUUUAUAAAUGUUAAAUUGUAAAUUUAGAGAAGGGUCUCCUGG
rnacentral:tRNA from 1 species